CAUCUUUCUCUAGAGUCUCUCUGUCUUCCUGUCAGCCUCUUUCUCUCCACAUACUGAACUAAAACAAACUUUUUUAUUGAUUUUAUAUCUUGAUUUUUAAGUUAUAAAGCCAGUCAUCAAAGUAGAAAUCAGAAAAUAGAAAGUGAUUACAUUCUCUCUCUCUCUCUCCUCUUCUGGAGUCUAAAGUCUGAAUGUCAGAGCGACGCUCGGCUGUGGGUGGAGAUAUUCUCUUAUUCAGUCAGUCUCACUCAGUUGUUGUUGCUCAAUCCACAAGAUCCACUGCUGCUCACAAAUCAGACGACUACAUUCACAGUUAGCAAAGACAUGCGGGAAAACUGUGAGCUGAUGAAAGUCUGUGAUUCGUUGCUACUUUAGCUGCAGGAUUUCAAACAGAACUGAACUGUGCAGUCAAAAUGUUUCUAAUGUUUUCAGAAUCGUUCUGGAGGUUCAUCAUUGUGUCUGUGGGUUUAGCAGCACUCAUAAUAAUUGUUGUGGCAGUCAACAUCUGGACAAGAACUAAAGGGACAAAAACACAGAUGGAUGAAAACACAGUGAAUAAUGAUGAAGAUGAAGAUGAUGGUGUGGUGAACUAUGAAAACGAUGGAGACCCUUCUGCCUCUGUCAGACUCCACUGAUCAACAACUUCCAUAUCAACAUCAGCUCAUCAGAGAAAAGACUCCACUGCAGUUAAAUAACAGCACAUUUACACGAGUAGUUGAAGCCUUUAGAGAACUGUUGAGAAGAUUUCUUAAGGUGCUUUGUUUAUGUAACAAGGAAAGGUCAGACAGGUCUAGCUUAGAGUAAAGCCUAGUUCACACCACACAGUUUUAAGCCCGAUUUGCCGCUCGGCGACCGUCAGGCUGUGAUCAGGGGUAAAUCAGAGAUCGAUCGGCGGUCGCCAGUCGUCAUGUGUGAACUACUCAAGGACGCUUCAAAACGGCUUCCCGACACAUUCCUGACACAUCGCAGACGCCAGCCAGAUAUCUAGCAUCCAAAUAUCUGGAACAUUCGGCCGACUCGACAUCCACAU